CAAUAUUAAAUGAUGAUUUCAUAGUUCAUCUGAGUACAAUUGAUGUAUACCAUUUAUUGUCUCGCUCUCGCUCCUAUCUGAUAAUAUAU